rnacentral:rRNA from 1 species
UGGGGAAUAUUGCACAAUGGAGGGAACUCUGAUGCAGCGACGCCGCGUGAGUGAUGAAGGAAUUCGUUUCGUAAAACUCUGUUCUAUGGGAAGAAAAGGACUGUACCAUAGGAGAAAGCUCCGGCUAAAUACGUGCCAGCAGCCGCGGUAAUACGUAUGGAGCGAGCGUUGUCCGGAAUUAUUGGGCGUAAAGGGUGCGCAGGCGGCUUUACAAGUUGGAUGUGAAAUAUUGUGGCUCAACCACAAACGUGCAUCCAAAACUGCAAAGCUUGAGUUAAGGAGAGGUAAGUGGAAUUCCUGGUGUAGCGGUGGAAUGCGUAGAUAUCAGGGGGAAUACCUGUGGCGAAGGCGACUUACUGGACUUAAACUGACGCUCAGGCACGAAAGCGUGGGGAGCAAACAGG